rnacentral:lncRNA from 1 species
UUCCACCUAUAGGGUUGCAGACCUCUUCAGCUCCUUGGGUACUUUCUCUAACCCCCUCCAUUGAGGUCCUUUGAUUCAUCUUAUAGAUGGACUGUGAGCAUCCACUUCUGUGUUUGGUAGGCCCGGGCAUAGUCUCACAAGAGACAGCUCUAUCUGGGUCCUUUCAGCAAAAUCUUGCUAGUGUAUGCAAUGGUGUCAGCGUUUGGAGGCUGAUUAUGGAAUAGAUCCUCAGGUGGGGCAGUCUCUGGAUGGUCCAUCUUUUCAUCUCAGCUCCAAACUUUGUCUCUGUAACUCCUUCCAUGGGUGUUUUGUUCCCAAUUCUAAGAAGGGGCGAAGUGUCCACACUUUGAUCUUCUUUCUUUUUCAGUUUCAUGUGUUUUGCCAAUUGUAUCUUGGGUAUUCUAAGUUUCUGGGCUAAUAUCCACUUAUCAGUGAGUGCAUAUCUAAUUACUUCUUUUGUGAUUGGGUUACCUCAUUCAGGAUGAUACCCCCCAGAUCCAUCCAUUUGCCUAGGAAUUUCAUUGUUUUUAAUUGCUGAGUAGUACUCCCUUGUGUAAAUGUACCACAUUUUCUGUAUCCAUUCCUCUAUUGAAAGACAUCUGCGUUCUUUCCACCUUCUGGCUAUUAUAAAUAAGGCUGCUAUGAACAUAGUAGAGCGUGUGUUCUUAUUACCAGUACAAACAUACUUCUAAGCAUCAAGAAUGCUACUUGAUAACCAAGAUAACAUUAUUUAGUUAAUAAUUAAAUAAUAUUUCUAAUAUAGAUAGAGUAAAUAUUCAAUAAAUAUUUUAUCUGAGUCAAUGAAUCUCUGAAAUUUUUGAAAUAAGAUAAUAUGAAUAUUUUCUACUUAGUAUUCCCCUGACCUAGAAUCCUAGGAGUAAAUGUAGUUCUGUUUGAUAGUUUCAUAGGAACCUAACUCAGUUGCCACUUUCAAAUCUAAAGAAAGCAUCUUCUCUUGUUUAUAUGUGCUUGGUAUGCCUUGUCCAAAAUGCUCAGGGCCAGAAGUAUUUUAGAUUUCAGAUUACUGCAGAAAUCUUAGAAUAUUUACAGAUUUAUAAUGAAAUACCUUAUAACUCAAAUCUAAAUAGGAAGCACACUUGUGUUUCACAUAUACAUUACAUUCAUUCUUGAGGUGAAAUAUUCCUGUGUUUGGGCUGUAGGCAUUAUAUGUUCUUAGAUGUACAAUUUUCAUUUGCUCUCUGUUUUGCCUCAAGUUACAGAUAUUGUAGCACUUCAGAUUUUCAAACUAAAGAUCUUCAACCCAUUCAGACUUAUCCAUUUUCUUAUUUCAUACCAGUUAUAUGCAGUCUUACCACUGAAGUAUGCAAAAGGGGAAAAGCACCUGGGUAAUUAGACAAUUAGAUUAAAACCAUGCAUUUCCCUGUUUCAAUACCUAUUUGCUACACUGUUAGUUAAGAGUAUAGUGUAUUUAACUCUUCAAAAAACAUCCAUUGAUUAUCUUCUAGAGUCUAGGCAGCAUAUUAAGUUCUAGAAACACAUAAAUAACACACACACACACAGAGAGACACGAGCUUGUUUGCAUAAACAUGCUUUCACACACUUGUGCACACACAUACACAGGGGCAUGUGCUUGUUUGCACACACAUACUUACAUACAUAUGCUUACACACAUGCUUACAUAUACAUGCUUGAACAUACAUGCUUACACACAUGCUUACCUACACAUGUUUACAUACAUGCUUGAACACACAUGCUUAAGCAACAUGCUUACCUACACAUGUUUACACAUAUGAUUUCAUACACAUGCUUGCACGCAUGUGCUUACACACGUUUACAUACAUGUGCUUGCACACACACACACACACACACACACACACACACAUAUACUACCUGUGGAGCAGUCAUGCCUUGAUAUGCCAUCACUUUUAGAGUAACAUGAUGUUUCCCCUGAGGUGCUGUUUUUCUCAGAGUACUUUCUCAGCAGGCAGUUAAGUUCCCUGCAGAUUAUAAGGUCAUCAUUCUUUUUUUAGGAAUCAGUGUCAAACCCCCUUUGCACUCAAAAAAAUGUCAGUAGUUUUGAAAGACAUACAGUAAGCCUUCUUUGAAUUAAUUAUUCUCUCUGAUUAGGCAAAUAAAACUGUGAUUUUAUAGAGUACUUCCUGUAUCUUCAUUAUUAGUGAUAAUGAUCGGGCUUUUGCCUGCUGGUGACGGUACCUAUACUUCAAAGAGAAUUGUACACAAGAUCAAAGGAACUCGAAAAUUGAUGUGUAACCACUAUAAAAAAUGGCUCUCUCUUAUCAACUUUAAAAAAAAAAAAAAAAAAAAAAACAUUGUUUCAAGAAUUUCUGGUACCCUGUGGCAGGUUGCACAAAGAGGCUCGUAGGUUAACCUUAAGCAUCUCAGUGGCUGCAGCCAUCUCAAGGAGUCAAGCUUAAAUUAAUGAAUUUACAAAACUCAGAUGAUUACAUGUCUCAAGUAAACAAUUCAUCCUUUGCCCAAGUGGUGAAAACACGCAGAAGCUGAGCUCUAAAGGGCACUGCUAUCACGAGAAGGUCAAAAUGUCAGAAAUGUUGAGGCAAUUACUGGACUAAACCCAUAUUGAAUUUGAAUAUUUUUUCUUGAUACAUUAAUAAUACUAAAGGCUGCAUCAUAUCAUUCAUUACCAAGAAACACAUAAGGAAAGAAAUAUAAAUAACAGCAGUAGCAAAUAUUUAUUGAAAAAAUUGUAACAGGAAUAUCACGCAGAAUUUUGGGGAUUUAACUGUGAAGGGAAAU